rnacentral:misc_RNA from 1 species
GAUGAAGAACGUAGCGAAAUGCGAUACUUGGUGUGAAUUGCAGAAUCCCGUGAACCAUCGAGUCUUUGAACGCAAGUUGCGCCCGAAGCCAUUAGGCCGAGGGCACGCCUGCCUGGGCGUCACACGUCGUUGCCCCCCCAUCUACUCCUUCGGGAUUGCGGGGGGCGGAUGAUGGCCUCCCGUGCGCCUCGUCGCGCGGUUGGCAUAAAUGCCAAGUCCUCGGCGACGCACGCCACGACAAUCGGUGGUUGCGAAACCUCGGUUGCCCGUCGUGUGCGGUCGUCGCGCAUCGAGGGCUCGAAAAAAUUGCCGGGCUCCGGCUCGGCUUUCAACGCGACCCCAGGUCAGGCGGGAUUACCCGCUGAAUUUAAGCAUAUCAAUAAGCGGAGGA